rnacentral:tRNA from 1 species
GGAGAGAUGGCUCAGUGGUUAAGAGCACUGACUGCCUUUUUAGAGGACCUGGGUGCAAUUCCCAGCACCUCCA